rnacentral:rRNA from 1 species
AGAGUUUGAUCCUGGCUCAGGACGAACGCUGGCGGCGUGCUUAACACAUGCAAGUCGAACGGAAAGGCCCUUCGGGGUACUCGAGUGGCGAACGGGUGAGUAACACGUGGGUGAUCUGCCCUGCACUUUGGGAUAAGCCUGGGAAACUGGGUCUAAUACCGAAUAUGACCAUGCACUUCCUGGUGUGUGGUGGAAAGCUUUUGCGGUGUGGGAUGGGCCCGCGGCCUAUCAGCUUGUUGGUGGGGUAAUGGCCUACCAAGGCGACGACGGGUAGCCGGCCUGAGAGGGUGACCGGCCACACUGGGACUGAGAUACGGCCCAGACUCCUACGGGAGGCAGCAGUGGGGAAUAUUGCACAAUGGGCGCAAGCCUGAUGCAGCGACGCCGCGUGAGGGAUGACGGCCUUCGGGUUGUAAACCUCUUUCAGCACAGACGAAGCGCAAGUGACGGUAUGUGCAGAAGAAGGACCGGCCAACUACGUGCCAGCAGCCGCGGUAAUACGUAGGGUCCGAGCGUUGUCCGGAAUUACUGGGCGUAAAGAGCUCGUAGGUGGUUUGUCGCGUUGUUCGUGAAAACUCACAGCUUAACUGUGGGCGUGCGAGCGAUACGGGCAGACUUGAGUACUGCAGGGGAGACUGGAAUUCCUGGUGUAGCGGUGAAAUGCGUAGA